UACGGGGGGGGCAAGCGUUGUUCGGAAUUACUGGGCGUAAAGGGCUCGUAGGUGGCCAACUAAGUCAUACGUGAAAUCCCUCAGCUUAACUGGGGAACUGCGUGUGAUACUGGAUGGCUUGGAUUUGGGAGAGGGAUGCGGAAUUCCAGGUGUAGCGGUGAAAUGCGUAGAUAUCUGGAGGAACACCGGUGGCGAAGGCGGCAUCCUGGACCAAUAUUGACGCUGAGGAGCGAAAGCUAGGGGAGCAAACGGG
rnacentral:rRNA from 1 species